rnacentral:rRNA from 1 species
GACGAACGCUGGCGGCGUGCCUAAUACAUGCAAGUAGAACGCUGAAGGAGGAGCUUCCUUCCCUGGAUAAGUGGCGAACGGGUGGUAAACCGUUGGGAAACCUCCCGGGAACGGGGGGAAAAUUUUUGAAAACGAAGGUUAAUCCCGCUUAUUAGCGGUAAUUGCAUGUUAACUGUUUAAAGGGUCCAAUUCCCCCCCACCAGAAUGACCCUGCGUUGUAUUAGCAAGUUGGUGGGGUAACGGCUCACCAAGGCGACGAUACAUAGCCGACCUGAGAGGGUGAUCGGCCACACUGGGACUGAGACACGGCCCAGACUCCUACGGGAGGCAGCAGUAGGGAAUCUUCGGCAAUGGACGGAAGUCUGACCGAGCAACGCCGCGUGAGUGAAGAAGGUUGUCGGAUCGUAAAGCUCUGUUGUAAGAGAAGAACGAGUGUGAGAGUGGAAAGUUCACACUGUGACGGUAUCUUACCAGAAAGGGACGGCUAACUACGUG